rnacentral:rRNA from 1 species
AUACGGAGGAUGCAAGCGUUAUCCGGAUUUAUUGGGUUUAAAGGGAGCGCAGGCGGAGAUGCAAGCGUGACGUCAAAUUUCGGGGCUCAACCCCGUCUCGCGUCGCGAACUGCGUCCCUUGGUUGCGGGAAGGGGAGGCGGAACUCGUGGUGCAGCGGUGCAAUGCAUAGAUAUCACGAAGAACUCCGAUCGCGAAGGCAGCCUUCCGGCCCGUCAACGACGCUCAUGCUCGAAGGUGCGGGUAUCAAACAGGAUUAGAUACCCUGGUAGUCCGCACAGUAAACGAUGGACACCCGCGGUUUGGCCUGUAUGGCUGAGCCGCCAAGCGAAAGCGUUAAGUGUCCCACCUGGGGAGUACGCCGGCAACGGUGAAACUCAAAGGAAUUGACGGGG